GGAUCUGAGGGUGAUCUGGCUGCGAUAUCUGUCACCCCAGUGAUCGUCAGGGUUCAUUGGGCUUGGGGUGAUUGCCAGGGUUGACUUGGCUGACCUAGCUGGCUAGGCGGGUGUCCCUUUCCUCCCUCACCACGCCACGUGUGUCCCUCCCAAAGCUGUGUGCUGGGUCAACGAGGAUGACCACCCCCAACAGAGGAGGACCAGUCUUCGGUCAAGGGUAUGCAAGUAGCUGGGCUCCCCUGUUAGAACCAGAACCUUCAAACAAGCUCUCAAGAACGUGGAAAAUCUGAAACUCACAUUGCUGGUUGCUGGAAGGAAUAUAAAACGCCGCAAACACUUUAAAAAGCAUUUUGGCAGUUU
rnacentral:snRNA from 1 species